GACGAACGCUGGCGGCGUGCUUAACACAUGCAAGUCGAACUGAAAGGCCCUGCUUUUGUGGGUUGCUCGAGUGGCGAACGGGUUAGUAACACGUGCGUAACCUUCCCUUUACUUUGGGAUAACUUCAGGAAACUGGGGCUAAUACCGGUUCGGAGCUCCUGCUGCAUUGUGGGGGUUGGAAAGUUGCGGCGGUUGGGUAUGGACUCGCGGCUUAUCAGCUUGUUGGUGGGGUAGUGGCUUACCAAGGCGUUCACGGGUAGCCGGCCUGAGAGGGUGACCGGCCACAAUGGGAAUGAGAUACGGCCCAGACUCAUACGGGAGGCAGCAGUGGGGAAAAUUGCAAAAUGGGCGGAAGACGGAUGCAGCAACGCCGAGUGAGGGAUGACGGCCUUCGGGUUGUAAACCGCUUUCGCCGGUGACGAAGCGUGAGUGACGGUAAUGGGUAAAGAAGCACCGGCUAACUACGUG
rnacentral:rRNA from 1 species